GCCAGUGUGGUGCAGUGGUUAGAGUGUUGGACUAGGACCUGGGAGACCAGGGUUCAAAUCCCCGCUGUGCCA